rnacentral:lncRNA from 1 species
UUUACCUUUGAUCCCAUCCCCAAGGCCUGCCAGAAUGAAAAUAAAGAACAAAGACAACAAAAAAAACAGCUGACAGGAACAGGAUCUUGGGAGCCAAAUAUCAGGGUCUCACUCUGUCACCCUGGCUAGAGUGCAGUGGUGCAAUCUCAGCUCACUGCAGUGUCAAUCUUCUGGGCUCAAGUGAUCUUCAGACCUCAGCCUCCUGAGUAACUGGGACCACAGGUGCAUACUACCACACCUGGCUAAUUUUUGUAUUUUUCAUAGAGACGGGGUUUUGCUAUGUUCCCUAGGCUGGUCUUGAACUCCUGAACUCAAGCAAUCCCCCUGCCUUGGCCUCCCAGAGUGUUGGGAUUACAGGCGUGAGACACCGUGCCCGGCCUGGGCUCCCAGGUUUUUACUUUGCUUUCACAUUCCCUGGAGUCCUCAGAGGGAGCAUGACUCUGUUGAUACCGUGAUUUCUGACUUUUGGCCUCCAGAACUGCGGGACAAUACAUGUCUGUUGCUUAAAGCCACCCCGUUUGUGAUAAUUACAGCAGCCCUAGAAAGCAAUAUACUUAGUGUGGAAAAACAAUGUGAAAUUUCUCAUUAGUAAUUUUUUAUGUGAAUUAAAUGAUUGAUUUGAUAAUAUUCAUUUGGGUUAAUAUAAAUAUAUU